rnacentral:rRNA from 1 species
GAUGAACGCUAGCGGCAGGCUUAAUACAUGCAAGUCGAGGGGCAGCAUGAUUGUAGCAAUACAAUUGAUGGCGACCGGCAAACGGGUGCGGAACACGUACACAACCUUCCAACAAGUAGGGGAUAGCACAGAGAAAUUUGGAUUAAUACCCCGUAACAUAGCGAUGUGGCAUCACAUUGCUAUUAUAGAUUUUUCGCUUGUUGAUGGGUGUGUGGCUGAUUAGAUAGUUGGCGGGGUAACGGCCCACCAAGUCUACGAUCAGUAGCUGAUGUGAGAGCAUGAUCAGCCACACGGGCACUGAGACACGGGCCCGACUCCUACGGGAGGCAGCAGUAAGGAAUAUUGGACAAUGGACGCAAGUCUGAUCCAGCCAGGCCGCGUGAAGGAUUAAGGUCCUCUGGAUUGUAAACUUCUUUUAUAAGGGACGAAAAAAGGCUUUUCUAAGUCGUCUGACGGUACCUUAUGAAUAAGCACCGGCUAACUCCGUGCCAGCCGCCGCCGUAAUAC